GGAGGAAUCUUGCGCAAUGGGCGAAAGCCUGACGCAGCCAUGCCGCGUGAAUGAUGAAGGUCUUAGGAUCGUAAAAUUCUUUUAGCAGGGACGAUAAUGACGGUACCUGCAGAAAAAGCCCCGGCUAACUUCGUGCCAGCAGCCGCGGUAAUACGAAGGGGGCUAGCGUUACUCGGAAUUACUGGGCGUAAAGGGCGCGUAGGCGGCGUUCCAAGUUAGGCGUGAAAGUCCUGGGCUCAACCUGGGAACUGCGCUUAAGACUGGAGUGCUUGAGGAUGGAAGAGGGUUGUGGAAUUCCCAGUGUAGAGGUGAAAUUCGUAGAUAUUGGGAAGAACACCGGUGGCGAAGGCGGCAACCUGGUCCAUUACUGACGCUGAGGCGCGAUAGCGUGGGGAGCAAACAGGAUUAGAUACCCUGGUAGUCCACGCCGUAAACGAUGUGCGCU
rnacentral:rRNA from 1 species